AUUGAACGCUGGCGGCAUGCCUUACACAUGCAAGUCGAACGGUAACAGGUUAAGCUGACGAGUGGCGAACGGGUGAGUAAUAUAUCGGAACGUGCCCAGUCGUGGGGGAUAACGUAGCGAAAGCUACGCUAAUACCGCAUACGAUCUACGGAUGAAAGCGGGGGAUCGCAAGACCUCGCGCGAUGGGAGCGGCCGAUAUCAGAUUAGGUUGUUGGUGAGGUAAAAGCUCACCAAGCCUGCGAUCCGUAGCUGGUCUGAGAGGACGACCAGCCACACUGGGACUGAGACACGGUCCAGACUCCGACGGGAGGCAGCAGUGGGGAAUUUUGGACAAUGGGCGAAAGCCUGAUCCAGCCAUUCCGCGUGCAGGAUGAAGGCCCUCGGGUUGUAAACUGCUUUUGUACAGAACGAAAAGGUUUCUACUAAUACUAGGAGCUCAUGACGGUACUGUAAGAAUAAGCACCGGCUAACUACGUGCCAGCCGCCGCCGUAA
rnacentral:rRNA from 1 species